CAUGGAUAUCUUAGAGGAGAACUCUGGAGAGGGGUCUUGGACAAGGGCCUGUAGGGACAGGACAAGGGGAAUGGCUUUAACCUGCCAGAGGGGAGAUUGAGA